ACUCAAGAAGUCUAACUACGCUGCAAUGCCGAAUGGGGCAUUACCACAUUUACCAUGUGUCAAAGUGCUGGCGUAUAUUAUGAACCAUUAAACCUCACCAGGCGAAGCACAAACAUCAUGUCACGGGAUUACGGGCAUCGGAUAGGUCGGCGCAAGCCCUAAUUAGAACGCGGGAGCCGCCCAUCCAGGUGCUGCCGUCAGCGGGGUGGCUUGCACUUCAGCGGCACUCCCGAUGCGUCAAGGAUGUGACCGAAAGAUGUGAACUAUGCUUGAUCAGGUCGAAGCUCAGGAAACCCUUGAUGAAGGACCGAAGCAAUCCUGACGUGGCAAAUCGAUUUGUCAAGUUUUUUUGAGCAUCAGGGGCGAAAGGACCAAUUCGAACAGCUAGUACUGGUCCGCCAUCCGAAGUUUCCCUCAGGAUAGUCUGACAGUAGGCAUUCUCGAGCCUUAUCUUAUCUUGGUAAAGCGAAUGAUUUUUUAGAGCCUUUAGGUUCGAAAUGAUCUUAACCUAUCUCAAACUAUACAAUGGUACGAUUGGUUGCAUAUCUUUGAUGAUAAGCAACCCUCUCUACAACCAAGACAAUCGGGCGGGGCAACCACGCCCGCUCGGUUAGAUAUUGGUGUGCUUAGUGGCCAGUUUUGGUAAUCAGAAUUGGUGCUUGUGGGAUGAACGCCAAACGUGAUGUACGGCGCCUAAAUAAACGACCAUCAUAGAUACCAUGUAAGGUGUUGAUCUGCUAAAACAGCAGACGGUGGACAUGGAAGUCGUCAUCUCGCCAUAAGGAUGUGUAUACAAUCACUUGGUCUGCCGAAGCAAUUUAGCCCUUAAAAUGAAUGGGGCUCAAGAUCGUUUGCUCCUAUACAUUCGCCGCUAAGCGGCAUAGCGCAUCGAGGUGCCUGACGCCAACCUUGCGAAUGAAAGCCCUAGUGAGUAGAGCGCACCGUGGUGUGGCGCACAGUGCUCGAGCGGACCGGCGAUGGAGCCCGCGCCACGUGGCACAGAUUUGGUAUUCUAUACAAAUAUUCGAAUGAGCUCUUGAUGACUGAAGUGGAGAAGGGUUUACGUGUCAACAGCAGUUGAACACGAGUUAGCCAAUCCUUAAGCCGCAUGUGGAACCCUGGUCCACACCUCCAAUACGAUGCUGGGAAAGUGAAUCCGUUACCAUCCGGAGCCCCGCCUUUGAGUACCGUCUUCUUGUGCGCGCAUGCGUAGGCAUUCGUCACUCGUCGUAUGUGUUUGGCUUGCCGUCGUGGUUACUUCAUUGGCAACAUGAAUCCUUUUCUUCGAGAACCAACGAGGGGCAUGUUCGGGAAGAGUUUUUCUUUCCUGUCUUUACAGCACCAACCUGCCAUGGAAGUCACUCACAGAGAGAUAUGUUGGGACGCGCUGGUAGAUCACGGCGUCGCCACUUGCCCGUGUCGAUGCACUCUUCUUUGACCAUGAAAAUCGAAGACUGGGGGCUAGCACUGCCAUUUGUUGAUGCUUAGUAACGUUUUACACACAACCAACCCGUUUGUAAGAUAUGCACAUCUCAAAACAGCUUGUACGAAUUCCGCAGUCAGGUCUCCCAAGGUGCAGAGUCCUCAUC
rnacentral:rRNA from 1 species